rnacentral:rRNA from 1 species
UGGGGAAUAUUGCACAAUGGACGGAAGUUUGAUGCAGCGACGCCGCGUGGAGGGUGUAGGCCUUCGGGUUGUGAACUCCUUUUUCUCGCGAAAAAGGCACAGUUUUGGCUGUGUUGAUGGUAGUGGGGGAAGAAGCGCCGGCUAACUACGUGCCAGCAGCCGCGGUAAUACGUAGGGCGCGGGCGUUGUCCGGAUUUAUUGGGCGGAAAGAGCUCGUAGGUGGUUCGUCGCGUCUGUCGUGAAAGCCAGCAGCUUAACUGUUGGUCUGCGGUGGGUACGGGCGGGCUUGAGUGCGGUAGGGGUGACUGGAAUUCCUGGUGUAGCGGUGGAAUGCGCAGAUAUCAGGAGGAACACCGAUGGCGAAGGCAGGUCACUGGGCCGUUACUGACACUGAGAAGCGAAAGCGUGGGGAGCGAACAGG